rnacentral:rRNA from 1 species
UACGUAGGGUGCGAGCGUUGCCCGGAUUUAUUGGGCGUAAAGGGCGCGUAGGCGGCCACGCACGUCCGUUGUGAAAUCGCCCGGCUCAACUGGGCGGGGUCGGCGGAUACGGCGUGGCUGGAGCAAGCUAGGGGGCAAUGGAAUUCCCGGUGUAGUGAUGGAAUGCGUAGAUAUCGGGAGGAACACCAGUGGCGAAGGCGGUUGCCUGGAGCUUUGCUGACGCUGAGGCGCGAAAGCGUGGGGAGCGAUCCGG